AUGUACCCGAAGAGACCCAGAACAGGUCGAAACAUGUGUUGUAU
rnacentral:hammerhead_ribozyme from 1 species